rnacentral:lncRNA from 1 species
AAGAUAGUAUGAGAAAGUUCUGAUCUUGACAGUUCACGUAACAUUCAAUCAAUUAUACCAUUGCUCUAUCUCUAAAGUUUUCUUUUUCUCCUUUUCUCAGUGUCUUACCAAGAAUGAAAGGCAACCUAUGUAAAAACUAUGGGCUUUCUAGUAUAAAUAAAAACUACUCAUCUCCAGAAAAUAAACAAUGACUGCUAAGAUGAUUGAAAAAAGAAAGGAGAAGAAAGUAGCUUGUAAAAGCGUGUGAAAUGCAUUCACGUUGGAAUCUCCUACAGGCACUUCAGGUAAGAAUUCUACCUUAUCCUCUGUGUUUUACUCCAGAAAAGCAUUUCCUUUUCCAGAUCCAGGAAAAAAAAAAACUUUUUAAACAAAAUUCAGCAUUUUUUAAUUAAAAAUUGACACUAAUGCGUAUAUCCUAGACUGCACUGCAUUGCAUAUUAUGCUGUUGUGUGUGAUAAGUUUACGUUUUCACGAUUCUGUCUGAAAGCUUAAAGAUGUAUGUUUUACAAAAAUAGCUCUAGUACAAUAGGACAAUAAAACGUGAACUCUUGAAGAUCUGAAUUGGAAUUAUUUUCUGACAGACUAUAUUUUCAAUUUCUUUAUUUGAUAAAUGAAGAUGGAUAACAUUGACCUCAUGUGUAACUACAACGAAUUCAAGGGUGUGGACAUGUUUUUCAGGUCUUCAGACUGUAAACAUUUUAAGUGUGAUUGCUGUGAAUGAAGGAAACCCAGAGCCAUCAUGACAAGCCUAAACUCAAAGGGGACUGAUUUCUUCUACACUGAAUGUUUCAUUAGUGACAGGGCCCAGAUAAUAAAGAAUUGUGCU